ACCUCAGUCCACUGUAUCAGUUUCGACAUUUCAACAAAUUGCUAUCACCAGAAUGCAGUACAAUGUGCAAUAUGCAAUAUGCAUCCUGAUGAUGUUUGGAAAUAGGACAGACAGUAUGGACUUGUGUGUACUUCAAGAAGUAUGUGCACCAAAUUCGUAACUCACAUACCAACAAAAAUUCAUCCAGUGUUGUUCCCCUGACUGUGUCUGUUUUAUAGGAAGUAGGCUGUUGGCGUGGAAAUGACAAAUGGAUCACUUUCAGAUGUCAACGAUUUUGAUUUUUUCAUUUUCACAAUGUCAUCCGAAAAUGUAUGUGUUGGUCUAUGUCCAUACCACUGUGUGUUUCUCUCAAUUCUCUCUGCCCUGACUUCUGUGCAGAAUGCAACCCUCGCCUUGUGCAACUACUAUAUUUGCACAGCACCCUCCCUGUCACUAACAACCAGCGGCUACAGAUAUUGGAAAGAUGUUUAGUGCGGUUCCAGAAGGAUGUGACAAGUCGGCAUUCAGGUCGAAUGUAUGAUAUGCUGUCAUACUUCAUUGGCCCAAAGUACACCACUGGCAUAUCUCUGGUUGAUGGUGUGGAAGUUCAGGCAUUCUGCAUAUUCAACCAAGACCAUGAACCAGUGAAGACUGAAGCGUAUCCAGCUGAUGUAUACAACGGUGUAUCAGUCGAUAUGACUGCAGCUAGGCGUCAUGGUUUCAGUGUUGUGGCAUGUCGGGGUGUGAGUGACACACGGUUACUACGUCAUCCUAUACGUACACCUAACGGAUAUAACACUCUUGAGGCAUCGGUACUCAAAUCUCAAGGAUGUUACAUUAUUCCGAUGGUACUCAAACAUGGCGCUCGGCACUCUCAGAAAAGCAGCCACACUAUCCCGGAUUUGCUGAUCAAUUAUCCGUACCACAUCACCGUGUUCAAAGACCUGUUACCCGCCAAGCAGUGAUGGACAUACACACUGAUGUCAUAGUCUACAAGAUGAUAUCUCUGAACAGCAGUAUACUCUGCAGAGUUGUGCCGUGAGGAAGUGUGUGAUAUCAUGUGAGGCUGGAGUAUGAGGUCCGAUUUGUGAUUACUAAGAAAGUUGUGGACAUCUCUUUUUGUCUUGUGAUUGAAGGUUUAAUUUCUUUGAUUCCUCGCCACUUUUUCUGCUGAGCUGAUCACUGAGGAAGUUGGUGCUGCCCCUUGUUUAAUUCCACUCCAUUGGCUGAGUAACUGAGUACAGCCGAUGUGAGAGGGUAGUGCUGCUAGUGCUAGUGAAGUAUGCGUGUUGAUUGUGUUUUUGAAAUCCAGGCAUUGUUGAGUUUGUGCGUGAAUGUUUGCGUGUCUGUGCAUUCAGUUCCCAAUUCUUUUUUCCUUGUGCGUGCAUAUACAGUACAGUGUACUUUGAUAUUGUGAAUCCUCCACAUGACAUUGUGUGUUUUCAGCUUCCAUUGUCCAUAGUAUGCAUAG